GGGAAUAUUGGGCAAUGGGCGCAAGCCUGACCCAGCCAUGCCGCGUGAGUGACGACGGCCUUAGGGUUGUAAAGCUCUUUUGGCGGGGACGAUAAUGACGGUACCCGCAGAAUAAGCCCCCGGCUAACUUCGUGCCAGCAGCCGCGGUAAUACGAAGGGGGCGUAGCGUUGUUCGGAAUCACUGGGCGUAAAGCGCACGUAGGCGGACUUUCAAGUCAGGGGUGAAAUCCCGGGGCUCAACCUCGGAACUGCCUUUGAUACUGUUGGUCUCGAGUCCGAUAGAGGUGGGUGGAAUUCCUAGUGUAGAGGUGAAAUUCGUAGAUAUUAGGAAGAACACCGGUGGCGAAGGCGGCCCCACUGGAUCGGUACUGACGCUGAGGUGCGAAAAGCGUGGGGAGCAAACAG
rnacentral:rRNA from 1 species